rnacentral:lncRNA from 1 species
GUACAGUCAAACCUGAUUAAAACGGACCCUGAAUAAACCGGUUUCCUGUCCAUUCCGGCCGAAAAUGAAAGUCCCAUAUUUUUCCAUUCAAAGUCUUUGUUAAAAUACCCUUUGUAAACCGGACCCUGUGUAUUCCGAAUUCCGGUCUUAUUAUGAAGUCCCAAUACUCUUAAUUACAUUAAUUAUUACCUGUCAAAACCGGUUUGUCUAAUUAAUUUCAAUGAUCGAUAUGCAAUCAAAACAUAUUUGUUGAAUACA